rnacentral:rRNA from 1 species
AUUGAACGCUGGCGGCAGGCCUAACACAUGCAAGUCGAACGGUAACAGGAAGAAGCUUGCUUCUUUGCUGACGAGUGGCGGACGGGUGAGUAAUGUCUGGGAAACUGCCUGAUGGAGGGGGAUAACUACUGGAAACGGUAGCUAAUACCGCAUAACGUCGCAAGACCAAAGAGGGGGACCUUCGGGCCUCUUGCCAUCGGAUGUGCCCAGAUGGGAUUAGCUAGUAGGUGGGGUAACGGCUCACCUAGGCGACGAUCCCUAGCUGGUCUGAGAGGAUGACCGGCAACCCGGGAACGGAGCACGGGUCCAACCCCCUACGGGGGGCAGCGGGGGGAAAUUUUGCAAAAGGGGGGAAGGCCUGAGGGAGCCAGCCCGGGGGUAGAAAGAGGGCUUUGGGGUUUUAAAGUAUUUUCAGGGGGGAGAAAGGGGGUAAAGUUAACACCUUUCCUCAUUGACGUUCCCCAAAAAAGAAGCACCGGCUAACCCCGG